ensembl:lncRNA
GGCAAAGAUGCUCUUAAAACUCUGCUUGCCCUGAAUUGUGUGUUGUGAGCUUACUUAGAUGGAGGCAUGAGAGGCUGUGGGGGUCCAACAGGGUUGGGAAGAGUGCCUGGACUCUGAAACACUGUGAUGCACUGAUGGGCAGAGGGCCUGUUGCCAUGUAGUAGGCUGAAAUGAGGACAUACUGGGCCAAAUGAAGUUGGCUAGUUAAUUGGGGGUCAAAUGAAGACACGGGGCUCAGAUGAGCUCACAUGAGGUCAAAUCAAGGAAAAUAAGUGGUCCUGAAGGUCAAAUGUGUUUAAUUGGGGUCAGACGAUGUCUUAAAGGUCAUACAAGGUCACAGAGGUCAAGCGAGGUCAAAUCACAGAAAAUAAGUUGUCUGAAAGGUCAAAUGAGGUUAAUUGGGGUCACACGAGGUCACGAAGGUCAUACGAGGUCACAGAGGUCAAGGGAGGUCAAAUUAAGGAAAAAUAAGAGGCCUGAAAGGUCAAAUGAGGUUAAUUGGGGUCAAACGAGGACACAAAGGUCAGCUGAGGUCACAGAGGUCAAGUGAGGUCAAAUCACAGGAAAAUAAGUGGUCUGAAAGGUCAAACGAGGUUAAUUGGGGUCAAAUGAGGAUACAAAGGUAAUACGAGGUCACAGAGGUCAAGUGAGGUCAAAUCAAGGCAAAUAAAUGACCUGAAAGGUCAAAUGAGGUUAAUUGGGGUCAUAUGAGGUCACAGAGGUCAAGCAAGGUCAAAUGAGGUUAAUUGGGGUCAUAUGAGGUCACAGAGGUCAAAUGAGGUCACAGAGGUCAAGCGAGGACACAGUGAGUCACCUGGCCAUGAAAUAAGUGGCUUGAGUUGUCCCAGUAGGUUAAUUUCAGUCUAACAAAGCCCCAGGGGUUUGGUUCCCACUGUGUACCUUAGGCCCAAUGGAUGGCUAAUGCUUCCGAUGGGCUCCUGUGAAGCCAGGCAAGUUGAGUGGCUGUUACAAUCUGCUGAAUAAAACAGUUGUUUAUUAGUAGCUAUUCGUAUCUGCAGGGGCUAGAAAUCAACUAAAGGGG